GCUUAACACCGAGAACAUACUGCUUAAAGGCAGAGCGGUGGCGAAGUGAAACGAGCCAUCACGCAUACAUAAAGUGAUUAUCAAGCAAAAUGUUUUGGGUGUUGAGCUUUGGAUAGUGGCGAACGGGUGAGUAACGCGUAGGCAAUCUGCCUUCUAGAUGGGGACAACAUCCCGAAAGGGGUGCUAAUACCGAAUGUUGUAAUUGGUUCGCAUGGACUAGCUACUAAAGGUG
rnacentral:rRNA from 1 species